rnacentral:rRNA from 1 species
GUGCCACCAGCCGAGGGAAUACGGAAGUGGCAAGCGCUAUCCGGAAUUGUUGGGCGUAAAGCGCGCGUAGGCGGUUUUUUAAGUCUGAUGUGAAAGCCCACGGCUCAACCGUGGAGGGUCAUUGGAAACUGGAAAACUUGAGUGCAGAAGAGGAAAGUGGAAUUCCAUGUGUAGCGGUGAAAUGCGCAGAGAUAUGGAGGAACACCAGUGGCGAAGGCGACUUUCUGGUCUGUAACUGACGCUGAUGUGCGAAAGCGUGGGGAUCAAACAGGAUUAGAUACCCUGGUAGUCC